rnacentral:rRNA from 1 species
GAUGAACGCUAGCGGCAGGACCUAACACAUGCAAGGUCGAGGGGCAUCAUGGCGUAGCAAUACGCUGAUGGCGACCGGCGCACGGGUGCGUAACGCGUAUGGAACCUACCCACCGCGAGGGGGACUAACCCGCCGAAAGGCGGACUAAUACCCCAUGGUUCCCCGACCCUGCCUGGGGUUGGGGGUAAAGCCUACGGGCGGCGGUGGAUGGCCCUGCGUGCCAUUAGCUGGCUGGUGAGGUAACGGCUCACCAAGUCAACGAUCAUUAGGGGUUCUGAGAGGAAGGUCCCCCACACUGGUACUGAGACACGGACCAGACUCCUACGGGAGGCAGCAGUGAGGAAUAUUGGUCAAUGGACGAGAGUCUGAACCAGCCAAGUCGCGUGAAGGAAGACGGUUCUAUGAAUUGUAAACUUCUUUUGUGCAGGAAUAAAGUGGGUUACGUGUAACCUUUUGUAUGUACUGUACGAAUAAGGAUCGGCUAACUCCGUG